ACCUAAUUCGCUAGAUGACAUACUAUACUACUUCCUCCCUCUCUCCCCCUCUCUCUCUCUCUCUCUCACACACACACACACACACACACACACAGCACACAAAACCCGUCUCCGGUGCUAAGCUUGGAAGCAAGCGUCAGAUUUUCGUCUGAGUGUCUUUUAUACAUCCUUCCUUAGAUAUACUGGGUGGCAGAUAAAUAACUCAGCAAGGAUAGUUCAAACAUGGUUUCGAGGCGUUUUCUGGAAAGCUGCUAGAAUAGGUGAGAGACUCAGUCCUUGGGUAGCCGUGGGGAGCUUCGCAAUGGGAGUUUCAAUAAUUUUCUUCUAAACAGACAUCACUGUAUGUUAAACAUUAUUACUGAUUCUAUCAUGUAGCUGAAUGGUUUGAGAUUCACCUUGGAAUUUUUGGUUCUGGAUGGUGUAUUUUCUACUACUUUGAGUUGGAUCAUGAUACUUAUUUGUAUGAUAACUGAAUGGAAGAUGUAGCAUAGUACUUUUUUUGGUGUUUCUUCCAGAACUGUACUUUUCUAAGAGUAGAUGCUUCUUCUUUUUGUGUGUGUGAUUUGAGUUUAUUGGGUACUUAAAAAAAUAUCAGCCAGCAUGAUGCGGGUUGUUUUGCGGGAACAUCAUGGUGCUAAUUGCCUGUGGUUAGCCUAUACCUUGGUUUGCAGAGGAAAUUCGAAGUUCAUUUAACCAUCUUUACAGUAUGAAUAGUAAUUGAGAGUUCCAUUCCUUCCCAUCCUCGCCAUCCAGCUCCUUUAAAAUUAUUCUUACAAUGUUUAACGAUUGAAACUUUAUAUAAAUACAUGAGCUUGUUGUUUUUAUAUUCUUGUCUAAGUUGAUUUGUUGGGCAGACCUGAUUUUCAUCCUCCUCUAAUUCAUAAGGUUGGCUGAUUCUCAUAUAAGUAAGUAGACACAGUCCAUCUAUUAUUAUAGUUCCCUGUGUGAUGAGAAUACAGACAAGAUACAACUUCUGGUUUAGAAGUGCUUUUUUUUUAUAGAAUGAGCUCCAGACAAGGGAUGACUCCUUGCAAGUUGAUAUAUUUGGACGUGUUCUAUAAAGAUUAGCACUCUAUGUAUGCAAGUACACAAGGCUCAAGAUCAUAUGUAAAAAUAUCAGCUAUUUCAGCAAAAGAUUCAUUUAAGUGAUUCAGUACAGCAGGUUCUUCUUUGCUGCGCUUAGUUGCUGCUGCUUCAACGCUUUCUUCUGCCUCAGAUUCCGCUCCCCAGUGAAGUGGAUAACUCCGCAGGAACACCCUUCUUGUGUUGUAGUCUUCGUCCCUGAAACUUUUUGCUCUCAACCCAUCUCCCUCCAUGCCUUUGAUAACUGUUUUUUAUCUACUGAGAACACUCUUUUAUAGGUGUUUUGGUGCAAUGAGUGUGUGUGUGUGUGUGCUGCAUUUCUUCUGGGACAGGGGCAAAAGAUUACACAAAAUACUAAAUUAACAAUCCCUUUUGAGUU